UACAGAGGUCUCAAGCGUUGUUCGGAUUCAUUGGGCGUAAAGGGUGCGUAGGCGGCGCGCUAAGUCAGGUGUGAAAUUUCGGAGCUUAACUCCGAAACUGCAUUUGAUACUGGUGUGCUUGAGGACUGGAGAGGAGACUGGAAUUCAUGGUGUAGCAGUGAAAUGCGUAGAGAUCAUGAGGAAGACCAGUGGCGAAGGCGGGUCUCUGGACAGUUCCUGACACUGAGGCACGAAGGCCAGGGGAGCAAACGGG
rnacentral:rRNA from 1 species